UUUAAAUGGCCGCAGUAUAUUAACUGUGCAAAGGUAGCAUAAUCAUUAGUCUUUUAAUUGAAGGCUGGAAUGAAUGGUUGAACGAAAUAUUAACUGUUUCAUAUGAAUUAGUAAUUGAAUUUUUUUUUUAGUCAAAAAACUAAAAUAUAUUUAAUAGACGAGAAGACCCUAUAAAUCUUUAUAUUUAGAUUAUUUAUAAAUUAUUAGAAUUAUUUAUUUAUAUAAAUUGAUAAUAUUUUAUUGGGGUGAUAUUAAAAUUUAAUAAACUUUUAGUUUUAAAAAUCAUUAAUUAAUGAAUAAUUGAUCCGUUAUUAACGAUUAAAAAUUUAAGUUACUUUAGGGAUAACAGCGUAAUUUUUUUGGAGAGUUCAUAUCGAUAAAAAAGAUUGCGACCUCGAUGUUGGAUUAAGAUAUAAUUUUAGGUGUAGCUGUUUAAAAUUUAAGUCUGUUCGACUUUUAA
rnacentral:rRNA from 1 species